rnacentral:rRNA from 1 species
UUCGUAGGCGGUGCGGCAAGUUGGGAGUGAAAUCUCUGGGCUUAACCCAGAGGCUGCUUCCAAAACUGCUGUGCUCGAGUGUGGGAGAGGCGCGUGGAAUUGCAGGUGUAGCGGUGAAAUGCGUAGAUAUCUGCAGGAACACCCGUGGCGAAAGCGGCGCGCUGGACCACUACUGACGCUGAGGAACGAAAGCUAGGGGAGCAAACAGGAUUAGAUACCCUGGUAGUCCUAGCCCUAAACGAUCAGGACUUGGGGUGCCACCCGUUCGGGUGUCGUCCCGGAGCUAACGCGUUAAGUCCUGCACCUGGGGAGUACGGUCGCAAGACUGAA